rnacentral:rRNA from 1 species
CAGGCUUAACACAUGCAAGUCGAGGGGCAGCAUGGUCUUAGCUUGCUAAGGCCGAUGGCGACCGGCGCACGGGUGAGUAACACGUAUCCAACCUGCCGUCUACUCUUGGACAGCCUUCUGAAAGGAAGAUUAAUACAAGAUGGCAUCAUGAGUCCACAUGUUCACAUGAUUAAAGGUAUUCCGGUAGACGAUGGGGAUGCGUUCCAUUAGAUAGUAGGCGGGGUAACGGCCCACCUAGUCUUCGAUGGAUAGGGGUUCUGAGAGGAAGGUCCCCCACAUUGGAACUGAGACACGGUCCAAACUCCUACGGGAGGCAGCAGUGAGGAAUAUUGGUCAAUGGGCGAGAGCCUGAACCAGCCAAGUAGCGUGAAGGAUGACUGCCCUAUGGGUUGUAAACUUCUUUUAUAAAGGAAUAAAGUCGGGUAUGCAUACCCGUUUGCAUGUACUUUAUGAAUAAGGAUCGGCUAACUCCGUGCCAGCAGCCGCGGUAAUACGGAGGAUCCGAGCGUUAUCCGGAUUUAUUGGGUUUAAAGGGAGCGUAGAUGGAUGUUUAAGUCAGUUGUGAAAGUUUGCGGCUCAACCGUAAAAUUGCAGUUGAUACUGGAUAUCUUGAGUGCAGUUGAGGCAGGCGGAAUUCGUGGUGUAGCGGUGAAAUGCUUAGAUAUCACGAAGAACUCCGAUUGCGAAGGCAGCCUGCUAAGCUGCAACUGACAUUGAGGCUCGAAAGUGUGGGUAUCAAACAGGAUUAGAUACCCUGGUAGUCCACACGGUAAACGAUGAAUACUCGCUGUUUGCGAUAUACAGCAAGCGGCCAAGCGAAAGCGUUAAGUAUUCCACCUGGGGAGUACGCCGGCAACGGUGAAACUCAAAGGAAUUGACGGGGGCCCGCACAAGCGGAGGAACAUGCGGUUUAAUUCGAUGAUACGCGAGGAACCUUACCCGGGCUUAAAUUGCAGAUGAAUUACGGUGAAAGCCGUAAGCCGCAAGGCAUCUGUGAAGGUGCUGCAUGGUUGUCGUCAGCUCGUGCCGUGAGGUGUCGGCUUAAGUGCCAUAACGAGCGCAACCCUUGUUGUCAGUUACUAACAGGUCAUGCUGAGGACUCUGACAAGACUGCCAUCGUAAGAUGUGAGGAAGGUGGGGAUGACGUCAAAUCAGCACGGCCCUUACGUCCGGGGCUACACACGUGUUACAAUGGGGGGUACAGAGGGCCGCUACCACGCGAGUGGAUGCCAAUCCCAAAAACCUCUCUCAGUUCGGACUGGAGUCUGCAACCCGACUCCACGAAGCUGGAUUCGCUAGUAAUCGCGCAUCAGCCACGGCGCGGUGAAUACGUUCCCGGGCCUUGUACACACCGCCCGUCAAGCCAUGGGAGCCGGGGGUACCUGAAGUGCGUAACCGCGAGGAGCGCCCUAGGGUAAAACUGGUGACUGGGGCUAAGU